rnacentral:rRNA from 1 species
AUUGAACGCUGGCGGCAGGCCUAACACAUGCAAGUCGAGCGGGGUUUUCGGACCUAGCGGCGGACGGGUGAGUAAUGCGUAGGAAGCUGCCCGAUAGAGGGGGAUACCAGUUGGAAACGACUGUUAAUACCGCAUAAUGUCUACGGACCAAAGUGUGGGACCUUCGGGCCACAUGCUAUCGGAUGCGCCUACGUGGGAUUAGCUAGUUGGUGAGGUAAUGGCUCACCAAGGCGACGAUCUCUAGCUGGUUUGAGAGGAUGAUCAGCCACACCGGAACUGUGACACGGUCCAGGAUCCUGAGGGAGGCAGCCGUGGGGAAUAUUGGACAAUGGGCGCAAGCCUGAUCCAGCCAUGCCGCGUGUGUGAAGAAGGCCUUCGGGUUGUAAAGCACUUUCAGCGAGGAGGAAGGGUUAGUCGUUAAUAGCGGCUAAUUUUGACGUUACUCGCAGAAGAAGCACCGGCUAACUCUGUGCCAGCCGCCGCGGUAAAAC